CUGCUAUUGAAGCUCCAACAAAUGGAUAAAAUUUUUUUUAGUCGAGAGGCUUUGUUGAAAUAAAAAUCCAAUUCAAAUUCCAAAAAUUCUAAUUUAUUCUUUAUUUUUAUUCUUUAUUAAAGUAAUUUUUAUUCUUUAUUAAAGUAAUAAAAAAUAAAGAAUAAAAAAAGGUAGUAUUUUUUUAAUAUAGAAAUGAAAUAAAAUACAAGGAGUAAUAAAUUCUUUCUUGUUCUCUCAAGACGGAUUAUUGCUCCUUUUUUUGUUUUCAAUUAGAUAUAUUAGUCAGUUUUUUUUCUCUUUUUUACAUUACAAGAGAAAAAAACCCAGCAAAGAAACGAAAGUAUAAAAAAGGAAUUUUUUUUGUGUUAAAACGAGUAAUUUUUUUUUUAAAGAAAAAAAAAAAAAAA
rnacentral:misc_RNA from 1 species